ACGCACGCUGGCGGCGUGCUUCACACAUGCAAGUCGCACGGAAAGGCCCUGCUUUUGUGGGGUGCUCGAGUGGCGAACGGGUGAGUAACACGUGAGUAACCUGCCCUUGACUUUGGGAUAACUUCAGGAAACUGGGGCUAAUACCGGAUAGGAGCUCCUGCUGCAUGGUGGGGGUUGGAAAGUUUCGGCGGUUGGGGAUGGACUCGCGGCUUAUCAGCUUGUUGGUGGGGUAGUGGCUUACCAAGGCUUUGACGGGUAGCCGGCCUGAGAGGGUGACCGGCCACAUUGGGACUGAGAUACGGCCCAGACUCCUACGGGAGGCAGCAGUGGGGAAUAUUGCACAACGGGCGGAAGCCUGAUGCAGCAACGCCGCGUGCGGGAUGACGGCCUUCGGGUUGUAAACCGCUUUCGCCUGUGACGAAGCGUGAGUGACGGUAAUGGGUAAAGAAGCACCGGCUAACUACGUG
rnacentral:rRNA from 1 species